AUGUCUCCGCCACCGCCACAGGUGCCCCUGCCUCAAACCUUGGUAGACCUCGCCACCAAACAGCACGAGGAUCAUGAGGCCGUGGUUUCCACUUUGAACAGCCUCUCGGAGGAGAACCACACCGCUCGGACAGAGGGCGCCGAGGACCAGGCCACCCUCCAGUCCAUCGUUGAGAUGCUCAAAACCCUCCAGGGCCAGCUGGCGGACACGUCACAGCAGCAGCGCGCGCAGAACCUAGCCCUCCUUCGGCUGGAAGGCAAGGGCAUGCCUCAAUUUGGUGGUACCGGGCUCCUACGGCCCCCAGAUGCGCCGUCCCACACCGGGGCCCCGGCCGAUCUGGCGGAUCGGGCUCCACGCCUGUACAAGAUUGAUUUUCCCCUCUUUGACGGGGCCAGCGAUCCGCGGCCAUGGCUGACACGCUGCAAUCUCUUCUUCCUCGGGCGCCGAACGCCGGAGUCGGAUAAGACGUGGCUCGCCUCAUACCAUCUCAUCGAUGUCGCCGCAUUAUGGUAUGGCCACCUUGAGACUAAGCUGGGCCAGCGGCCGUCCUGGACCGAGUUUCAAAAUCUAAUCGCCAACCACUUUGGACCGCCGGCCCGCGCCAACCCCUUUGGUGAGCUGAUCUCCACCUGCCACUCCGACACCGUGGCGGAAUACUUUAAGCGCUUUCUAGAGAAUCUUUCUCGGGUGCACCCCAUUGCUGACGACGAUGAGCGGGAUAUCUUCACCAACAACUUGGGCGAGCCUAUGAAAACUCAGGUCGAGAUGUUGAAACCGGCGACAUUGGAUGCGGCUAUGGACUUAGCAAUCUCCUUUGAGCACCUCAAUACUGUCACCAGCACCACGGCUACCCCGGGCUGGCCCAGCCGUCCACUCCGCCCCAUGGCCGCACCUACUCCGGCCUUACCGGACUCCUCCAACCCCACGCCCGCGCUCGUCUUUAAAAGACUCACGCCCGCCGAGAUGGAUGAACGGCGCGCUAAGGGUCUCUGCUUCAAUUGUGACGAGAAGUUCGCGCGGGUCCAUCGCUGCAAAAGACUGUUCUACAUUCAAUCCGUCGAAGCCGAAGAGGAGCAAUUAGGAGUCUGGGUAUUAGUUGGAAAGGUUUAG
rnacentral:rRNA from 1 species